GCUCACUUCGGCAGUGCCUAUACUAAACUUGGAACAAUACGGAGAAGAUUAGCAUAGCCCCUGCAAAAGGAUGACAGGUGAAUUUAUGAAGUGUCCCACAUUAAA
rfam:Canis lupus familiaris chromosome 27, whole genome shotgun sequence.